ACAACUGACUUUUAUGGUGAGAAAAACUGAACUUCUGGCUCAACAAGAGGCGGCCGACACUUGUUGAGUCUUUUUUUCUUCUGAAUAGACAGAAAGAUAACAAAAAGACAUUGAAGGACAUGAGAGGGGGGACAAUAACAAAGGAAGGAGAAAAUCUGCGUCUUCACAUGUUCCUCCAUCAGGAUCCAGCUGAGCAGGUCAGAAAACUCUCCCCACGUCCCCUCCCUUAACAAACCAUUGUCAGACAGAAGCCACUCCCACAGCCAAACAUCACUGCUGAUAUGUGUGUGUGUGUGUGGGGGGGGGGGGGUACCUCUGACCAGGUCGCUGUAGUUGGAGACAAAGCAGGAGGACCAGACGGGACUUCUCUGAAAGACAAGAGCAUCACGUUCGUCUGAAACGGUUUACAUCAGCGUUUCCGAUUCCUGUCAGUCACCUGUGAGUUAACCCCCCCCCCCCAAAAAAAAGAAGGAAGCUUCAUCAGAACCCCAGAUUCCAUCCAGAACUCCUUGAUCUAUCAAAAUGAGGGUGAGGGCCCUCACCAUGAUACAUAGACGCCGUGCUGCUGUUGAGAUCUUCUGCAGUUUGAGGUCUUAACCUUCACAAAACGUCAGAAAGUUUCCGCAUGACAGAUUGAUUUAGAUGCAGCGAAUAAUGACAAAAAUGUACAUUUCUGUUCUAUUGAUUAAUAGAAAAUGAAACAAAAAAAUGUGUUUUGCUCAAAUGAAGAGUCGUUUUCCUUCAGGUUUCAGGUUUCCCACUCUGUGGACUGAAGUACCCCUCCCCCCACAGGACUGCAGACGGAGCGGCUCUUCAGUCAUCUGACGGUCUGAGGGAGGAAACUGCUGGUCCUGACGUCCUGACGCC
rnacentral:lncRNA from 1 species